rnacentral:rRNA from 1 species
GGGGGGGGGGGGGGGGGGGGGGGGGGGGGGGGGGGGGGGGGGGGGGGGGUGGGUGGGGUGGGGGGGGGGGGGGUGGGGCGGGGGGAGGGGGGGUGGGGAGGGGAGGAUGAGGUGGGAGCGGUGGGUAGUAGGGCGUAGGCUGAGGGGCGGAAGGCGGAAUCCGCCCUCGGAGGGGCUUGCGUCUGAUUAGCUAGAUGGUGAGGUAUAAGCUUACCAGGGCGAUGAUCAGUAGCUGAUCCGGGGUGAUGAUCAGCCACACUGGGACUGAGACACGGACGAGACUCCUACGGGAGGCAGAAGUGGGGAAUGUUCCGCAAUGGGCGAAAGCCUGACGGAGCAAUGCCGCGUGGAGGUAGAAGGCCCACGGGUCGUGAACGUCUUUUCUCGGAGAAGAAACAAUGACGGUAUCUGAGGAAUAAGCAUCGGCUAACUCUGUG